CGCCUUCAGAAUUUCAAAAUGGAGGAUUCGAUGCUAUUGUGAUGGGGAUGCUGAAACUCCAAGAAGCAUAGUGACUUUUAGAAAGUAC
rnacentral:lncRNA from 1 species